GCGGAAGCGUGAUCCAGCCAUGCCGCGUGAGUGAAGAAGGCCUUCGGGUUGUAAAGCUCUUUUGUCGGGGAAGAGAUGCAAAGGGUUAAUACCCGGUGUUCAUGACGGUACCCGAAGAAUAAGCACCGGCUAACUACGUGCCAGCAGCCGCGGUAAUACGUAGGGUGCGAGCGUUAUUCGGAAUUACUGGGCGUAAAGCGUGCGCAGGCGGUUUUUUAAAUCUGAUGUGAAAUCCCCGGGCUCAACCUGGGAAAAGCAUUUGAGACUGCCAGGGUGGAGUGUGGCAGAGGGGGGUGGAAUUCCACGUGUAGCAGUGAAAAGUGUAGAGAUCUGGAGGAACACCCCUGGGGAAGGCGGCCCCCUGGGCCAAUACUGACACUCAGGCACGAAAGCGUGGGGAGCAAACAGGAUUAGAUACCCUGGUAGUCCACGCCCUAAACGAUGUCAACUCGGUGUUGGGAGGAAUAUGCUUUCAGUGUCGCAGCUAACGCG
rnacentral:rRNA from 1 species